AGAAGUUUUGAUCCUGGCUCAGGAUUAAACGCUGGCGGCGCACAUAAGACAUGCAAAGUCGAACGGACUUUAACCAUUAGUUUUACUAUUGGGAGCGGUUAGUGGCGGACUGGUGAGUAACACGUAAGCAACCUGCCUAUCAGAGGGGAACAACAGUUAGAAAUGACUGCUAAUACCGCAUAUGCCUUAGUAACACAUGUUACAAAAGGGAAAGAAGCAAUUCGCUGAUAGAUGGGCUUGCGUCUGAUUAGAUAGUUGGUGGGGUAACGGCCUACCAAGUCGACGAUCAGUAGCCGGACUGAGAGGUUGAACGGCCACAUUGGGACUGAGAUACGGCCCAGACUCCUACGGGAGGCAGCAGUCGGGAAUAUUGCGCAAUGGAGGAAACUCUGACGCAGUGACGCCGCGUGCGGGAAGAAGGUUUUCGGAUUGUAAACUGCUUUAGACAGGGAAGAAACAAGACAGUACCUGUAGAAUAAGCUCCGGCUAACUACGUG
rnacentral:rRNA from 1 species